rnacentral:siRNA from 1 species
CAUGUGCGCGGGGGGGUCCAGC